rnacentral:misc_RNA from 1 species
UGUGGGAGCGAGCCUGCUCGCGAUGACGAUAUAUCAGCUUGCAGAUGUGUGACUGAUACACCGCUAUCGCGAGCAGGCUCGCUCCCACA